AAAUCUCUGAACCUGUAGAUACCCUUCUGUACCUCACAGCAUGUUUGAUGUUCAUUGAGGUCAUGUGUAGCUGCAUGUCCCUCUCCAGGAGCAGAAAGGAGGAGACUAUUGGAUUUUAUUCCUUUGCUAACACUGUCUACCUUUAGAAAGGACAAGCCAUUGCAUUAUGGCCUCAUAUGAAGUCACUAACUUUUGCAUGUCAAGAAUAAAAGAGAAAUUUAUAAACAA